AACUUCCUGUGAGGUAAGAGGCACGUGAGGCUCCUGUGCCGGGGGCGGUGCUGCUCCCGAGUCGGCGCGCGGCGGGGACGCGAGUCGAGUUUCUCUCCUGUCACAAUGGCAUGAUCUCGGCUCACUGCGACCUCUGCUUCCUGGGUUCAAGGAUUCUCCUGCCUCAGCCUCCCAAGUAGCUGGGAUUACAGACAUAAGCGUCUUGCUAUUUGCCCAAGCUGGUCUUGAACGCCUGAUCUCAAGUGAUCCACCCGCCUUGGCCCUUCAUGUGGAAAAUUAGAAACCAAAAUCCCCUGUGAAUCCAGCACACUCGAGGUUCAUUCUCCACACCCAAGGUGAGGCAGCCACAGGGCCAAGCUGCGGUCUUGGAACAGAAAUGUAGCAUCAGGAAAGCAACUAGAACACCCGCCACACUGAUCAUGACCUCCGUAGUACUAAUAACACUGCAUCUGUGAUGCUAGUGUUAGCACCCGUUUUAUACAGAGAGGCACACCCGUCGGGGUAACUCGGAAGCUGCCAUCCACAUCCAACCCCGGGAACAUGGAUGUGUCCCUCAGUGCGCACAUAACGCUUGGAACGUGGAGGUGACAUCGUCACCUAACGCUACACCCGUCACACUCAUAUAAUCCCCGGAACACGCAUGUGUCCCUCAGAGCACACACGUAACCCCUGGAACGCCCGUGACACAGUCAGACUCACGCCACACCCGUCACACCCCCGGAACAUGCAUGUAUUUCUCAGAGCAUACAUACCGCCCGGGAUGCAGUCAUGGCCUUUGCAGCCCACACGAGAGGGUCUGCAGCUCUGAGGAUGGAACCUUCUGGCUCUCGCUGGGGCGCUGAGUUGACAGCCUCUGCUGGCCUGGGUUUGGGCUGGAUUUGGCCUCUGUCAUGAAACUUCAUGUUGUUGUCUCUGCCUUACUGACGUGGUAUUGCCACGGUUGUUUUAAAAAGUAGUUUACUUCCCAAUAAUGUCAUAUUUCUGGGAAACUUGCAACAGCACUUAGUAUGCCUUCUCCUUUAUCUCCAAUUCCCCAGCUGUUAUUCCUGUGCCAGAUUGCAGCUUCACAAAAAAUACCCCCGUGUGUUUCACCAAAAGCAGGAAUACUCCUCCAGGUGAUCCCCAAAUAACCCCCAAUUUAGGAAAUAAACAGUUUCUAUGUGAAA